GAUGAACGCUGGCGGCGUGCUUAACACAUGCAAGUCGAACGGGCCAUAUUCGUAUGGUUAGUGGCAGACGGGUGCGUAACACGUAGGUGACCUGCCUCGGAGUGGGGAACAACUCCGCGAAAGCGGAGCUAAUACCGCAUAUGCUCGGGUAUUCGGUUAUUCGAGUAAAGGCGUAAGCCGCUUUGAGAUGGGCCUGCGGCGGAUUAGCUAGUUGGUGGGUAACGGCCUACCAAGGCGAUGAUCCGUAGGGGGCGUGAGAGCGUGGCCCCCCACAUUGGCACUGAGACACGGGCCAAACUCCUACGGGAGGCAG
rnacentral:rRNA from 1 species